GAUGAAGAACGCAGCGAAAUGCGAUACGUAAUGUGAAUUGCAGAAUUCAGUGAAUCAUCGAAUCUUUGAACGCAUAUUGCGCUAUCUGGUAUUCCGGAGAGCAUGCUUGUUUGAGUAUCAGUAAACACCUCAACUCCCUUUUCUUUUUUGAAAUUGGAGCUGGACUUGAGUGAUCCCAACGCUUUCUUCCAAGAAAGUGGCGGGUUGCUUGAAAUGCAGGUGCAGCUGAACUUUUCUCUGAGCUAUAAGCAUAUCUAUUUAGUCUGCCUAAAAAACAGAUUAUUACCUUUGCUGCAGCUAACAUAAAGGAGACUAGUUCUUGUGCUGACUGAUGCAGGAUUCACAGAGACAGCUUCGGCUGACUUUGUAAACUCGAUCUCAAAUCAAGUAAGACUACCCGCUGAACUUAAGCAUAUCAAUAAGCGGAGGA
rnacentral:misc_RNA from 1 species